CGUAGGUGGCGAGCGUUAUCCGGAAUUACUGGGUGUAAAGGGAGCGCAGGCGGGGCGACAAGUCAGCUGUGAAAACUAUGGGCUUAACUCAUAGACUGCAGUUGAAACUGUUGCUCUUGAGUGGAGUAGAGGCAAGCGGAAUUCCGAGUGUAGCGGUGAAAUGCGUAGAUAUUCGGAGGAACACCAGUGGCGAAGGCGGCUUGCUGGGCUCUAACUGACGCUGAGGCUCGAAAGUGUGGGGAGCGAACAGGAUUA
rnacentral:rRNA from 1 species